rnacentral:rRNA from 1 species
AUGGAUCUACACCCACAAGUGAUUAGCUGGAAUGUUAGGGGCCUCAACAAUCCAGCGAAGAGGAAAGCGGUGAGAGAAUUCCUAGGCUCGGUGAAGGUGAACUUAGUGUGUCUGCAAGAGACCAAGCUAGAUGUAAUUGAUCAGUUUAUUGUAAUGCAAUGUCUCGGACCAUCCUUUGAUGGUUUUGCGUACUUACCAGCCAUAGAGACACGAGGUGGAGUUCUCCUUGCUUUGGACAGCUCGGUGCUAACCCUUGACAAUAUUCAGCUUAACGCAAACUUUGUCACUGGCCUAGUGCACUCAAAGGUCACGGAGCCAUGGUGGAUUACUGUUGUCUACGGGCCACAGGGAGAUGAGCUUAAGACGCAAUUUCUGGAGGACUUAACAAGGAGGCGCUCAAUUUGUCAAGGACCUUGGAUGGUGAUGGGUGACUUCAACAUGAUUCUCCAUGCUUCAGAGAAAAACAACACUAACCUCAACCGAGUGUAA